GUGUUUGCUUUGGCAGCACAUAUACUAAAAUUGGAAUGCUACAGAGAUUAAUGUAACCCUGUACGAUAAUGACACACAAAUUCAUGAAGCAUUCCAUAUUUUU